rnacentral:sRNA from 1 species
GUGUGCUCCUGCACCACUGAUCCCUUCCACAACAUGGACUGUCUGUGAUGCACGUGUGCAGGAUGCUGGGAGUGCCCAGGUGGAAAGACACACGUGCUGCCCCCAGGAACUGACUGACUGGUGUUUGAUGUACAGAGGAAAGUCACCUAUAGGAACCUGAGCACCUGGUAUACAGAGCUUCGGGAGUUCAGGCCAGAGAUCCCAUGCAUCGUGGUGGCCAAUAAAAUUGAUGCAGACAUAAACGUGACCCAAAAAAGUUUCAAUUUUGCCAAGAAGUUCUCCCUGCCCCUGUAUUUCGUCUCGGCUGCUGAUGGUACCAAUGUUGUGAAGCUCUUCAAUGAUGCAAUUCGAUUAGCUGUGUCUUACAAACAGAACUCCCAGGACUUCAUGGAUGAGAUUUUUCAGGAGCUCGAGAACUUCAACUUGGAGCAGGAAGAGGAGGACGUGCCAGACCAGGAACAGAGCAGCAGCAUCGAGACCCCAUCAGAGGAGGCGGCCUCUCCCCACAGCUGAGGGGCUGGGGCUAGGGGUGGGUGGAGCCCUUUUAAAAUACCCUUCCCUUCAACAACUCUCCAGCUCUGAAUGGAGAAACUCUCUAGGCCAUCCCCUCUUCUACCUCCUGCAACCCACCCAUCCUAUUAGCCUCCCACAUUCAAGGCCCGUGAUACAGGGAUGAGGUCAGCACCAGCAAACUCUGGCCUGGUGGAAGAAUUCCCCACCAGAUCUCCUUGAAGCAGAAUUAGGGAUCAGCAUCAUUAACACCUUCCCCACCCCCUCCCCCCAGGCAGACAGUGAAGAGAAUCAGAAAACAUGAUUAUGUGUCACUUUAAUACAGGAAAUGUAGGUGUUUUUUGGUGUUUUUGUUUUUGUUUUUGUUUCCUUUCCAAAGCUCACCUCGGGGACAAUUCCCUGUGCUUCUGCUGAGGUAAUGAUUACCCGCCCCCCCACCCACAGCUGAGUCUGUGAGGCCCCAUCCUUUCCCUACGUUUUCUCCCAUCUUUUUUCCUCUUCAGUCUCCCAGUCAUCUGGUUUGUUUGUUUCUUUGUUCGUUCUGAGACGGAGUCUCGCUCUGUCACCAGGCUGGAGUGCAGUGGCGCAGUCUCGGCUCGCUGCAACCUCUGACUCCCUGGUUCAAACGAUUCUCCUGCCUCAGCCUCCCGAGUGGCUGGCAUCACCACGCCCAGCUAAUUUUUGUAUUUUUAGUAGAGAUGGGGUUUCACCAUGUUGCCCAGGAUGGUCUCGAUCUCCUCACCUCGUGAUCCGCCCGCCUCGGCCUCCCAAAGUGCUGGGAUUACAGGCAUGAGCCACCGCGCCCGGCCCCAAUCAUCUGUUUUUAAACAAUCGUUUUUGAGCAGAUAGCUAUUCAUUCCAGAUUUCUGUGUACCCACUCUGUUUCAGGAGCUCUUCUAGGUAAAGCUGAGAUCACAGGAACAGCAGGUGACAGGCCUAGCUAUAGUUAGGAAUACACAAGCGGUAAAAUCGAGUCCUUACAGCCAUACCACAAGGUACGUCCAUUUGGACUACAAGAAGAGCUUCCUUUAAAGUUCCUAUUUCAGCAUAAGGAGGCUGUCCUUUUUUUUUUUUUUUGAGGAAUAGUUUGGACCUUGUGCCUCCUGUGGGAGGCUGAGGACUGCAAGAGGAGAGCUAGCAGAUAUGCCUGUUCACCCCUCUCUGGUACUUGUGGCUUGCUAGUAUGUUUUUAUGAUAAUCUCGGGCAUUGUUUGCAUUGUGUUUAUUAAUAGGGUUUUGUUUUUAUUGUUUCCUUUUUUACAGUAAAGGCUGAAUUACAUAAA